GUGGAUCCAGAUACCAUAUUUAUAUAAAAGCCCAUUUUGUACUCCUUUUUUCUGCACUGGAGAAGCAGCUACUGGAAGCAGGGUUAGAACAAGCUUGACCACAGGAUUGCAAAGAAUCACUGAAGUGGUGUUUGCAUUAGUCCCAAGUGCUGGCCACCUCAUCUCAACUCUCCCUAGAGGAAGAGACCCUGUAAGUCCCAAGGACACAUCCGGAAGAGUAUUGUGGAGAGUGAGAUACGCAGCAGCAGACUAGGUUUGAAUGGCACAGUGAGACACUGGCAAUGGG
rnacentral:lncRNA from 1 species